GCGAAUGGCUCAUUACAACAGCCUUAAUUUACUUGACCUUGACAACCUACUUGGGUAACUGUGGUAAUUCUAGAGCUAAUACAUGCACCAAAGCUCCGAUCCUCGCGGAGAGGAGCGCAUUCGUUCGCCACAAAACCAAGCGCCCUUCUGGGCGUCCAGUGCUGAACCAGAACAACUCAGCUGAUCGCACGGUCUUGCACCGGCGACGUGUCUUUCAAGUGUCUGCCUUAUCAACUUUCGAUGGUAGUGUACCUGACUACCAUGGUUGUGACGGGUAACGGAGGAUAAGGGUUCGACUCCGGAGAAGGGGCCUGAGAAAUGGCCACUACGUCUAAGGAUGGCAGCAGGCGCGCAAAUUACCCACUCUCAACGCGAGGAGGUAGUGACGAGAAAUAACAAGACCGUUCUCCUACGAGGCCGGUUAUUGGAAUGGGUACAAUUUAAACCCUUUAACGAGUAUCUAUGAGAGGGCAAGUCUGGUGCCAGCAGCCGCGGUAAUUCCAGCU
rnacentral:rRNA from 1 species